GACGAACGCUGGCGGCGUGCUUAACACAUGCAAGUCGAACGAUGAAGCCGGAGCUUGCUCUGGUGAAUUAGUGGCGAACGGGUGAGUAACACGUGAGUAACCUGCCCUUGACUCUGGGAUAACUGCGGGAAACUGUAGCUAAUACCGGAUACGACCCUCGGAGGCAUCUCCUGGGGGUGGAAAGAAUUUCGGUCAAGGAUGGACUCGCGGCCUAUCAGCUAGUUGGUGAGGUAAAGGCUCACCAAGGCGACGACGGGUAGCCGGCCUGAGAGGGUGACCGGGCACACUAGGACUGAGACACGGCCCGGACUCCUACGGGAGGCAGGAGUGAGGGAUAUUGCACAAUGGGCGAAAGCCUGAUGCAGCAACGCCGCGUGAGGGAUGACGGCCUUCAGGUUGUAAACCUCUUUUAGCAGGGAAGAAGCGAAAGUGACGGUACCUGCAGAAAAAGCACCGGCUAACUACGUGCCAGCCGCCGCAGUAA
rnacentral:rRNA from 1 species